AUCAAGAGAGAAGAGCUGCACUUUUAUCCGCAGAGCCGCCUGUCAACUAAUGCCUCACAUCAUGGUGCCAGCAGAUACCUGGAGCUCCUCUAAAUCUCCAGCUCCUAAGGGAAAGAGAAAGCAGGAGAAACUUCUAGAGACCUGCAGGAUCUCUGCUCUCCACCAAGUGCGCCUGUCCUGAGUCACACGUCUAAACCGAUGAGAGCAGUGGUGAAGCCUUUGCGCAGUAACCGUGAGUUGUGUACAG